rnacentral:lncRNA from 1 species
ACAAAAGGAAAGUGGGAGGGAGGGAGGGAGAGAGAGAGGGAGGGAGGGAGGGAGAGAGAGAGAGAGAGAGAGAGAGAGAGAGAGAGAGAGAGAGAGAGAGAGAGAGAGAGAGAGAAGGGAGAGGAGAGGAGAGGAAGAAGAAGAAGAGAGAAAAGAGGGAGAGUGAGGGAGAUAGAGACAGAGAGGAGAGAAGAGGAGGGGGAGAAAAGGAAAGAGGGAGAGAGACAGAGAUAGAGACAGAGACAGAGAGAGAAAGGAGGGAGGGAGAGUUAGGGAGAGAGAAGGAGAGGAGAGCAGAGAGAGAGAGAGACAGAGAGAAGAGGAGGGGGAGAAAAGGAAAGAGGGAGAGAGACAGAGAGAGACAGAGACAGAGAGAGAAAGGAGGGAGGGAGAGUUAGGGAGAGAGAAGGAGAGGAGAGCAGAGAGAGAGAGAGACAGAGAGAGAGAAGAGGAGGGGGAGAAAAGGAAAGAGGGAGAGAGACAGAGAGAGAGACAGAGAGAGAAAAGAGGGAGGGAGAGUUAGGGAGACAGGGACGGAGAGGGGAGAGAGAGAGACAGAGAGAAAGAAGAGGAGAGGAGAGGACGAAGAAGAAGAGAGAAAAAAGAGGGAGGGAGAGUGAGGGAGACAGAGAGGAGAGAAGAGGAGGGGAGAAAAGGAAAGAGGGAGGGGGGAAAGAGAAGAGAGAGAAGAGAAGAGAAGAAGAGGAGAGGAGAGGAAGAAGAAGAGAGAAAAGAGGGAGGGAGAGACAGAGAAGGAGAGAAGGAGAGAGGGGAGAGAGAGAGAUGGGGAGAUGGGGAGGUAGUUCCCCCUUGCUUCUAGUUGAGUUUUUGGGGCCCACAUUCUCCCCCCCCACUCACCUCCUCCGUCCUUCCCACUCCUCGGGAGAACCUCUCCACUGCACCCCAUGCCCCCCCAUCCCUUUCUGCCUCUCUUCCCCUCCCCCUCCUUGUCAGUGUUUCCCUUUAACGCGCGCGCCCGCCACGUCCCUGCCAAGGUCCCCUCGCCCCCUCG